CCUACGGGAGGCAGCAGUGGGGAAUAUUGCGCAAUGGGCGAAAGCCUGACGCAGCGACGCCGCGUGAGGGAUGAAGGUCUUCGGAUCGUAAACCUCUGUCAGCAGGGAAGAACGGUCACUGUGCUAAUCAGCAGUGAAUUGACGGUACCUGCAAAGGAAGCACCGGCUAACUCCGUGCCAGCAGCCGCGGUAAUACGGAGGGUGUGAGCGUUAAUCGGAAUUACUGGGCUUAAAGCGCUCGUAGGCGGUAUGUCAAGUCAAGGGUGAAAUCCCCGCGCACAACGUGGGAACUGCCUUUGAAACUGGCAAACUGGAGUGUGGGAGGGGAUAGUGGAAUGCCUGGUGUAGGAGUGAAAUGCGUAGAUAUCUGGAGGAACAUCAGUUGCGAAGGCGACUAUCUGGCACAUAACUGACGCUGAGGAGCGAAAGCGUGGGUAGCAAACAGGAUUAGAUACCCUAGUAGUC
rnacentral:rRNA from 1 species